GUAGGGGGCAAGCGUUAUCCGGAUUUACUGGGUGUAAAGGGAGCGUAGACGGCUGUGCAAGUCUGAAGUGAAAGCCCAGGGCUCAACCCUGGGACUGCUUUGGAAACUGUGGAGCUAGAGUGCUGGAGAGGUAAGUGGAAUUCCUAGCGUAGCGGUGAAAUGCGUAGAUAUUAGGAGGAACACCAGUGGCGAAGGCGGCUUACUGGACAGUAACUGACGUUGAGGCUCGAAAGCGUGGGGAGCAAA
rnacentral:rRNA from 1 species